CGCGCGCUCGUGCCUACGAAAAUCGAGCGUUCCUAUUGGCGGAAUAUAUUCCGAAGUCAAAUAGAACGUGCCUAUUGGCGCAGAAUAUUGCCAAGUGACAUUGAGCGUUCCUAUUGGCGCAAUAUAUUGUGACGUCAUAUCGAGCGCUCCUAUUGGCUGGAGAGUCGUAGUUUCAACCGAGCCGAGCGGUGACAUGAAAGUCGUGCUGCGUAAAUUCGUCUCGUCGAGCGUUAUCGUGUUUUUAGUACCUUUAUUUCGACUUUAUCAACGAUUCUGCACUUCUAUCUGGUUAAUUCAAAUAAUUAUUGGCUGGACACGCGACUGAAAACACUGAAAGAAUACACAUCACAGACGCCACAAACGAUCGACAAUCGAUAAUUCGAACUGAAACAAGAUGAACGUCAUAGAUGAUUAUUAAUAAAUCGAAUCGUUGAUUUUUUAUGCCGAUUUAGCAAUGAUUGACGUAUUAUAACAAAGCAGAGUUUUUCAUAAUUUCUACUAUUUCCUGUGCUUUGGGAAGGACGCAGUGAUGCUUCAAAACUAAGCAUGUUUAUCACUCCUUCCUCUUCCUCCUGCUUCCUGAAAAGGUCCUAGUGGUGUUUCAAAAGUCAAGAAUUUUUUUCCAUGAUGGGAUUGCAUGACUCCUCCUUGAUAACGGUCUUCACGACGACUUUCCCUGGGCUACCAUAGCAUCGAUGACUACGUUCCUCGCAUCUUAUCGUGAGUCGCAUGCAUUUUUGUCCCUCCGGUCACUCAAUCAUGUCGUAGGACGAAAGGUCCGAAUCGACACGGGUGACUGGUUGUAUUACGUAGAAUUUUGUUGCGAGCAUAGUGACCGCGGGUAUUUUUUAUACCCGUGAGUAGUAACAUUCUUUUUUUAAAUUUAUUAGUUUAGGAUAGGUCUUCUUGCAUAUCGCGUUUUUGUUUCUGUUAAUUAUAUGAUAUACUGAACAAUUUUAUAUUAACAAUAUUAAUAAUACUACUAACUGAUAAAAACGAUAUUAUAUUAAUAAUUAGUUUGAAUAUUUGUGAUUGAAGAUAUACAUGUAUGUUCACUGUGAUCACUUUUAAAGUUGGAGUGUAUUAAAAAUGUAUAUCUAGAGAGAGUUGCAAUGAUUUAAUUAAAUAUUUCGUAGUGAUGAAGUCGAAUUACAUAUUUAAUAAUAACGAUAAUAAGUCAUUUUUUAUUUCACCUGGCACUAUUACGAUGGAUUUAAUUGUUUGCCAUUCAUUUUUUAAUUUGAGUAUUAAUUUAAAAUAUACAUAUAGGGGUAGUAAAGUUCAGUCCUGCCGUACAAAUAUGCAUGGAAUUUCAUGGGCAAGAAGAAAUUUCGCGACAGGCAAAUUUUGGAAUCAAAGCAGCAAGUUUUGAACAUUGUUUUUGUACUUUCGAAAAUGUGCUUUGACGAAGGAAUUGCCUGAGGUUGUUUGUAAUAAUAUCUAACUUUGAGUCAGUUAUUAAAUAAAUUUCUUAUUCAUUGUCAAUUUGUCUCUUUUGUAGUGAAAUUUCAAUAGUUCGUAGAAUCAAUUAUUUAAAUGAAUCAUUAUAUUGCAUUGAUCUUAUUUAUGCUGUUUUUUAUAAAUAAAUUCAAUAUUAGUAUUUCGGUAAAUUAUAAAAUUAAUAACCUAGACUAUACAGUGAUAGUAAUAGAGAUAAAGUUUGAAAAUGCAAAAUAAAGAAAGAUUAGUCCGUUAGAUACAAAUUAGAUGCACUAAUACGUUUUUUAGUUAGGAUUUUCAGGUUUAACCCCUUCCGUAUUCAAUGCCAGGAUCUCACUCACGUGCUCAGGUGCUACUUGGGUGAGAGAAAGGCAAUGAGUACGAUGACCAUUGAUUUUAUAAUAAUUUGUAAGCGACUGACGAUGAGUUAGCGUAUCGUGCACGACGUACUUUCCACAUAGUGUGUGUGGUUAGGCUGUGGAAUUGCGUCGUUCAGUAUUUAUUCCAUUUACUACAAAUAUAAAUAAUAAAAAAUAAAUUCAAAAAAUAUCAUUUCAAUCACAAACUGUAAAAACAAAGAUUCGUUAUCGAAUACAGGGAAUCAGAGAUACUAGGGUCAUUAAUUUUAUUGUUAAAUUAUAAUAAAUGGUACCACAUAUCGUACCAUCUACAAUUUCUUUGAAAAAUAAAUACACUCUCUGAAUUAUGAAUAUUUGCAAUUAAAAUUGAGAUUAACUUUUAUCGCAAUUUACGCAAUGGUCGCUAGCAUUCGUCAGUCGAUUUCAGGAAAAUGGUACGUACCUUAGAGUAUGCAUGCUGUGUGUUAAGCUCGGGUGUCGGAGGCGUCCCGGGACGUCCUCUCUAGUGUAGGACCUUUGCGCCCGAGCGUUUGCGUGAGAACCGUGGAGCGAGUGUGUUGGUGUGCCCGUUUUGCCAUUUUUAAAUAUAGCGCUAGGUAGGAUAGGUAGUAUACUUUCUGGUAUGUCUGUUAAUUAUAAGUAGGUAGGGCCGGGCAGGUUGGCACAGUCUCUGGUCGGGUAGGCGCGUUUUCGUGUGACCAACCUGUUUCUGGAAAUCUAAUUUGAAAAAUCGACGGUGAAACUGGCACGGGUAGAGCAUGCUCUCGUCUCUGGUUUUGCCUAUCGAUUUUUCGAAUUUCGCGGUCGCGGUCGCGAAUGGGUCGAAACGAACGUUUAUUGCUCGAGCACGCACAUGCGAGUGAGCAACGAUCACUACCGUGAAUGUUGGUCAGUCCAUAUGCACUUCAAUCAGCUUCAGCGGUUUAUAUUAUUAUUUUACCUUUAUAAGUUUUCUUUUUGUUUGCGAUUUAGAAGUCUCGAGCUUAGAUUUAAGUUUCAGCGGGCAUUGCGCCCGAAGAAAGAAGAGGCUAUAAGCCGAAGAGGCCCGGCAAACUGCCACUCAAGAGGGCAACUACUAAUGGCUCCCCAUCCUCUGGGUCAUCCAGAGUAUGGGAAGUCAUUAUUGUUACUACUUUGUCACUAUGCUCGCUUUUAGUAUUUUUAGUAGUAGUAGUAGUAGUCGUAGUAGUAGUAGUUUGCUUUUUUGGCCGAUGUAUAUAUCGGUCCAUCGUCCCAUUGGGCAAAUCGCGAUUUUUCUUAUUAGUGUUGCGAUAAAUUAAUUACGGGUUGUAUUAGAGUUGCGAAAUAAUAUCGCGGCUUUUCAUUAGUGUAGCGAGAAAAUGAUUACGGUUUGAAUUAGAGUUGCGAUAAAAUGAUAAUCGCGUUUGCUUUAGAGUUGCGAAUUACGAUAUCGCGAUUGUCUUUUGCAAUUUUUAAAAUUUAUCCUGUUUUCUUUUGUUUAAAAUUAGAUUAUGAAAAUGUUAGUUUUCAAUCAAUUUUAUAGUA